AUUGAACGCUGGCGGCAGGCUUAACACAUGCAAGUCGAGCGAGCGGCGGAAGGGUGAGUAAUGUCUGGGAAACUGCCUGAUGGAGGGGGAUAACUACUGGGAACGGUAGCUAAUACCGCAUACCAUCAGAUGUGCCCAGAUGGGAUUAGAGUGUUGGUGGGGUAAUGGCUUACCUAGGCGACGAUCCCUAGCUGGUCUGAGAGGAUGACCAGCCACACUGGAACUGAGACACGGUCCAGACUCCUACGGGAGGCAGCAGUGGGGAAUAUUGCACAAUGGGCGCAAGCCUGAUGCAGCCAUGCCGCGUGUGUGAAGAAGGCCUUCGGGUUGUAAAGCACUUUCAGCGAGGAGGCGUUACUCACAGAAGAAGCACCGGCUAACUCCGUGCCAGCAGCCGCGGUAAUUC
rnacentral:rRNA from 1 species